rnacentral:rRNA from 1 species
GACAGAGGUUGCAAACGUUGUUCGGAAUUACUGGGCAUAAAGCGCACGUAGGCGGUUCGUUAAGUCAUGUGUGAAAUCCCUCGGCUCAACCGAGGAAUUGCGCCUGAUACUGGCGAGCUAGAGAUCGAUAGGGGUGAGUGGAACUCCAGGUGGAGCGGUGAAAUGCGUAGAUAUCUGGAGGAACACCGGUGGCGAAAGCGGCUCACUGGAUCGAUACUGACGCUGAGGUGCGAAAGCUAGGGUAGCAAACGGG